UACGAGGGGGGCAAGCGUUGUUCGGAAUUAUUGGGCGUAAAGGGCGCGUAGGCGGUGCGGUAAGUCUGAUGUGAAAUCUCCGGGCUCAACUCGGAGUCUGCAUCAGAAACUGCCGUGCUUGAGUGUGGGAGAGGUGAGUGGAAUUCCCGGUGUAGCGGUGAAAUUCGUAGAUAUCAGGAGGAACACCGGUGGCGAAGGCGGUUCUCUGGGCCUGCUCUGACGCUGAGGAGCGAAAGCGUGGGGAGCGAACAGG
rnacentral:rRNA from 1 species